CUAAAUGACACAGGCCUCGAUACGCGCAUCGCAGAAACGCCCCCUCCCCUACUCGGCACACGCUUCGAAGCCUCGAUACGGAACGUCACAUCACUAAUUAUAGUUAACAUUUAGUGUUUUGUGCUCUGUAGGGUAUGCAGCGCAUAGGUGCUUCGCCGUUAUUCUAGGGUAGCGCGGUUAUCCAAAUGUGUAUUUACUAGUUCUAUUAAUGUAGCACGUUAGCAAACCUCUGCUAGCAAGAAACAUUUCUGGGAUCCUGUUCCUCCAAAUGGCCAGUAAGGCAUCCACAGCUCUGGAGUUCUUCCUUGAAGCUGCAAAGAAACAACUUUCCAUCCAGGAUAGAGCCAAUGAGCUGCAUGUAUUCACUGAGGGAUGAACAACCCUUCACUCUGAAGAGAACUACACCCCAAACGAGUUGUGGGAAAUUGGAAGAGAGUCCUGUCAACACUUCUGAGGACAUUAAGGAGGGACCAGUUUCCUGAUGUGGCCAUGUACCAUUCUGGAGUACAGGUUGAAGAACUGGUCUCACUCCCUAGCUAAAGAACUGAAAGCCCUGAUUCAGCCACUUAAAUACUCUAAUUGCAGAAAAGAACCAGACAGUUUAAGUUGUAAUUACUUUAUUUACCAGUCUACAAGAGCCAGAUGAUAUUGCUUAUCCUCUUAAUGGCAUUUUAAGUAGUUUAAACAACUGAUUGCACUGCCGAAGUCUUGCAACCAAAAGGUAAAUAAAUAAUCACCACUGUUAAAAUACUAUGCUCUCUUGAAGAAUGGAGUGUAAAUGGUGUGCCCAGCUGGCUCUAAACAAGAACCCCAGUCAAAGCAGAGUACCUCAUCUUCCACAUGCUGUUAAUACUGCAUGUACAUGGACCCUUCCACAGUGAUGACUUCUCCAGUCAUGCAACUUUUAAGUUGCAAUGCAAUUGCAUGACUGGAGAAGUCAUCACUGUGGAAGGGUCCAGGCAAAUGCAGUGUAACGGCAUGUGGAGGGGAGGAGGGAGUGGAGGGUUGACUUUGAUCCUGCCAGUAGGGAUUUCCUAUCUUAAACUUCUGCAGUUGCCUGAGCCAGAGUGGAGUGCCUGGAAAAAGAAAAAGUUAGUGUUUUUGGAAAGGCUUCUUUGACUUCAUUAGUAAACAGUCCAUUUUAAACCAACUUGCCUGUCUCCAUGUAUGUCCUCAAUCCUGUUGUAGGAUUUUUGAUGCUGACUGGGGUUCUUAUGCCAGGGCUAGAUGGUCAGGUUGAGGAGGGAAGCAAAAGCUUGCUUAAAUAAAUAAAGCAUGAUA